UGGAAUAAAAGGCAGAAAGAAAGAUGGCAGUAAUUGUAAUAUCCUGAGAUUUUUUAGCUCAGCCAAAAAUUCCUGCCAUUGAGCAAGUUUCACAGGGCUGCCACUGACUCGCUGCAGGACACAUACAAUCUGAUCAAGUUCAGAGACGCGCUGAGUGCUUCAAGCGGCGCUUUUAAACUCCAAGCCAUUCACAUCCUUUCCCCCUCAGUCUGUCCCAGGAAGGAGCUUACAUUCUUUAUUUUAAGGGAUCUGGACCAAAAAAUCUUCAAAUCAGUCCUUCAUUCUGCUUUCGCCCUCACCCUACCGCAUUCACCCCAGAACAUUUCCUCGAGAAAGAGUUAUAGAUUGAAAAGGUCCUCUUGUUCCUCCGUCUCAUCUAUCUCUACCCCUGCAGCUCCUGGCUAUCUUCACCCUCUAUGGCUCCUUCAUGAUGGCCCCCUAAUCUCUGCCAGUGUGGUUCCAUGAAUUCUUCCUUUCCUUUACACAAGGUUUCUCUCUGCCAGCAGCCUGCACACUGAGGCCGUCGAGCCAUUAAUGAGCCCCAGCUCCGAUAAUGAAGACACAGAGGUGGUCUGAGCCAGUGUGGGCACAGGAGCUGGAGCACAGGAGGAAGGUAGAUUAGGAUAAUUACCUGGCCACGGGGGAACCAUCAGAAAGAUGUCUCACAACCUGCAGGCCUUGAUCGAAGGAGCAAUAUAAUGAGGUGCGGACACCCUUUGCUCGGAAAGGAAAGAAUAAAGGAAAAUUGAAAAAUUAGUCUCUUAUAAUCGAAAUGUGACAUGUAUUUUUCAUUUCUGUGUGACAGUUAUUGCUCGUUCUGUUUUCUCAAGUUCUCUCCACAACCCUUACAUGUACUGUAUGUUUAUGUAUUUGUUUUAUAGCUGUGCUAGAUGUCUCACACAUAUACCUAAGUCCUAAAUGUCCACACUCACUGAUACUUUGAAGAGCCUAUGAGGUCAGGUUUUAAAUUAUGGUCUGCACCCACUCCAAGCUUUCUCGUCCCACUCCUGUAAAUCCAUUUUCCACACAAUGCAUUUCAAAUCAAAGCAGUGUCGCCAUAACAGGCCUUAGGAAACAUUAAGCCAUAGUGCAGUACUUUCAUGUAUGAUAGCAUAUCCCCUGUAUGCUUUGAUGUGCUCACUUUUUUAAUGCUUUAUUAAUAAUAACACACUUGGUCUUUCUCACACCAACAUCAGCUACUGGUGCUCCUUUCUCUCCUCCUGAACUACACCCCUCACUCCUUCCACCAUGCCUCAGCUUCUGUCUCCCUCCACAGCCCCUGAGCCCUGUCUCAGGAUUGGCCUGUUUGUGUUAGGGAGGGGGAUUAGAGGGAAUGACAUGGGCCUCCAGAUGAAGAGAGUGGCACAGACCUAUCAGAGGGCAGAGAGUAUGGAGCGCUGCAUCACCAUUGGUUGCUGCAGAAAUCAGACACGUCUUUAUUUCUUGCAGCCAUCCUCUCCGAAUAGCCCAGCUUUCAUUUCCACGCCCGGGGAGGGAAGCAGGGCGAGAAAGAGCAGGGGGGUGGGUCAGGAUUAGAGUUUCUGUUUGUACAUUUAAGUGUGUGUGCAUGUGUGUUUUUGCUUGCAUGUUGUGUGCUGCAGUAAACAUCUGAGAGAUACAGAGGGAUGGGCGCUCAGAAACUGAUAGCGCUCACCUCUUCUAAAGCUGAACAAAAUGCAAAUGCUUAAACAGUGUUGUGUUGUUGUAGCUUAAAGGGCUGCCUGAUUCAUAGACAUUUAUAACCUACUUAGGAUACCCAUUUCUCACUCAUUUAUUAUUAUUUCAGCUUUAUCCCAAGAUAUGUUGCAUUAGUGUUGCAGGCAAAGGUACCCUAAAGCACACAUUGUCUGUUCAUUGUGAUGUUUUCCUUUUGACAAUUUCAAGCAUGUCUGCAAUUUACCGGAUCACUUAGUAGCCUAUACCCACAUUCACAUGCGUGUCCACAUUAUGCGCAAACAUCUGCUAAAUUAAUUUCCCUCUUAUGUUUUAUUUUUCUCUCUGUUCCUUUUUGAUACCCUUAUCUUGAUUUUUUUGGUGUUAUUUCAGCAACUCCUGCAGCAGUCUCUAAAGGCAUUCAUAAUGCAAUCUGUGGUUGUAUUUUUUAAUAAUAAUAUGAUCUGCAUGACAUUAAUUUGGCAUAUGUACCAUAGCAUGUAUGCACACCCACCGAUUAGUCAAUGUUUCAUACCCAAAUCUUCCUCUGUUCUUCAGUGUAACUCCUUCCUAUAGUUCUCAUAUGAUGCCUGUUGAGCGUGUUGUGCACCAGACUGUCGUCAGUGUUCGCCUGCUUGUUAGGGUGCAGCCAGUAGACUCUGGCUGUCUGAGCAGUGAUAUGACUGGGGGCAGCGAGGCUGGGUCCUCGCCAAUAAUCUGCGUGGUCUGCAGGCUCUCUGGGGGCACCUGGCUCCCCUCCCCGCCAUUUCUGGCCCGAUCGAUGGCUGAGUCCGUCCCAGCGCAGAGACCAGGGGUCAUCUUCAAAGGCCUCCAGCCCACUUCCUGCCACCUGGUGUUCUGUUUCGGACAGAGGGCACAUUUCCUUUCCACUCCCUCCACCCUCCAUGGCCCUUCUCAGAACAGGUUAAGGACAUGGAGCCCGUACAGCUCGUCUCUGUGAUCCUCACCUCCCCAGUCUCCCCCACGGGGAGAGAGGGUGAGAGAUCAGUCCUAUCCAAACAUCUCAAAAUCACACACCCAUUUGAUGUGAAAAUCUGCUUUUGAUUUAAUCAUGGCUUAGAAUGCAUAUCAUGAACGUUUUUGGUUAUUAAUUGUUACCUUUGUUAACAUUCUACAUUCGUUUUAAGAACUAAAACAGGUGUAACUGGAUACAUUCUCUUAGUAUAGUGCAUCCACACAUUUAUUUUUUAAUUCACUGACAAAAUAACCACAUCAACAAAGAGGCUUAUAUUUCAUUUAUAUUUUAUUAAGACAUGUAUACCAUAAUACAGUAUAAUACAGAAAGGUUUGUGAAGGUAAUGGUGUAUAAUGAUGCAUUAAAUGAAGUGACCUUUUUGGCUCUCACUUGAAACAUGUUUCAUGAUUAACUGAUCAACAGACCUCUUAUGGUAGGAGAAUCUCCAUCUCUCUUUCCCUGUUGGUCAAUUAACAAAUGGCAGGGCUAUCGAACACACAUUUUAUCCCCAUGAGGGCUGUCGGACAAUUAGCUCCAAGAAUACAUAUUAAUCAAUUGCGUUUUUUUGAAUCUGUUUCUUAAGCCUAGCCAUUUUUUUUCCCUCCAAUACAUUAGCAGAUCUCAGUAUGUCCGCUACUCUUGUGAACAGGGAUGAGAAGGAGAUAGAGGGAGAGGAAAUAAAGGUCUGAUGAGUUUGGCAAGGAGAGGAUGGAGGCUGAGACAGAUGGCAUGAAGUCUGCAGCACUCUGGCGUGGCUCGCCUGGUGCUAAAAUCCUCCUCUCUCACAUUCCAACAAAUCCUACCAGGAGGCUGGGGAGUCUGUCACACCACUCCAAGGAUCCACACGGCUCUCUUCAUCCCCCCUCUCCUCCCCCUCCCCUGUCGCCCCAGCCCAACAGAGCCUCUGACCACUCGGUAUCAUAUUUUCAUCCUCACAUAUGUAUACAUUCAUACAUUAACAUGUAUAGAGCUCGACCAUUAAAGGCCUGAUAAGAAGCACCAGGGGGGGGGGGCAGAUAUGACGAAACGCCUUCUCACUGCUCUUAUGAAAAAGGAACCAGGGGAACUAAACUGAGAGAGGUGGCCUUUACUGUCACUCCAGUGUAAGAAAUCGUAUUCACUAAACACUGGGCCAAAUCAUGAAGGACUGUACAAUCCAUUUAUAUCAGAGGAAGAAGACAUAAGAAGCUUUUUGAUUAGUUUCAACACAGCCUGCAUCAGCACAUGCUGAACAGAAACACUGCAGCUGCAAUCUAAAUCCAAACAUUGCUCUGACCCUUUUUUUCUAGGCUCCCCGUGGGCCCUACAACCAAAAAUGGACAAUAAGUGUAACUGUGAUUACACUCAUAGCACUCGACCAACAACUGGAUCAUGGGCUUCACAUGACAUCUUCAUCUCCAAACACUGUACUGUUAGAUAUGCUUUGAAUUUCUCAAGCAUUUAUUUCCUUUGCCAUCUCAAAGUGGUUCAUCUAAUAAGAACAAUCUAAUUUAUUUUACACUUUGCUCUCUCCCCAUGUCUCUUUCUCGCUGUCUUUCUGCCUGCCUUCUGUUUGUUCUAAUGAAUGACUUCUGAGAUGAGGGGCUGCUGUGAGGAGGUCAUGGGGGGCUUCAGAAUCACAUUACUGUUAAUGAUAAU